rnacentral:rRNA from 1 species
AAACCAGCACCUCAAGUGGUCAGGAUGAUUAUUGGGCCUAAAGCAUCCGUAGCCUGUUUUGUAAGUUUUCGGUUAAAUCCAUUAGCUCAACUAAUGGGCCGCCGAAAAUACUGUAGAACUAGGGAGUGGGAGAGGUAGACGGUACUCGGUAGGAAGGGGUAAAAUCCUUUGAUCUAUUGAUGACCACCAGUGGCGAAGGCGGUCUACCAGAACACGUUCGACGGUGAGGGAUGAAAGCUGGGGGAGCAAACCGGAUUAGAAACCCGGGUAGUCC